UUUGAGAGUUUGUUAGUGGUAUACCGUGAUCAAGACCUCAAGAUGUUUAAGUAUAUAUUUAGUCAAUGAAUUACUUAGGUUUCCUUAUAGAGACAAUGGUCCUUAUAUCUACCUUAGUUUAGCAUCUUUCCAUCCCACACUAACUUGGUAACUACCUUUCCAAUACCGAAUCUCCGACAGGAUAUCGUUUGUGAUCUCCUUAUUUUCCACGAGAUUAGUCUUAACUACAUCUUAUUGGAUUUUACCUAGCAAAUAUUGGGUUUAAGAUCUAUAACCGGCCCUCGGGACUUAAGUGAAUGGGCUUUCACAUUCUCAGCCUAGGUUUAAAAAUCCUAUAACAUACUGUAUUAAGUUUUUUUUUUUUUUGUUAAAACAAAAAUUUACAAAGAUAAAAAUUAGAUCGAGUGAAAAACACCCGUCUACAGUCAUCAUAAAGGAGAAAUAAUAAACUAGGAGGGGGAGUUAGUAGCCCGACAAAAGUAAAAUCUCCACUAAGAUUAAGGUUUGUCAACUUAUCUCCGCAUCAAUUCGCCUCAUGAUAGAUAUAGUUAACCACAACUUUAUUCCUCACAACACACAAUAGAGAUGUCAUUUUGAAGAAGAGGUGUAAGAUAAAGAUUACAAAUUUUCCUGAACCAAAUCAUGUUGACCACAAUAAAAGAGUCCAUUUACACCAAAAUAGUAGUCAAACCCAAAUUACAAGUCAUUUUGAGACCAUGAACCAGCCCCCAAAGCUCAGCUAACACAGAGGUAGCUCGACCAAGAUUACAAAAAAACCUACAAAUAUCAAUUCCUCUAUGAUCUCUAAUAAGUCCUCCAUAAGCAGUCAUACAUGUUGUGUCGUGAUAAGAACCAUCAAUAUUUAACUUGAAAGAAUUAAUAUAAGGAGAGUACCAUUUAACAUUAAUCUUUAUCCAACCUCCAUAAAGGAAGGAGGACUAAGAUAAAAAUGCUGAUGAAUGGAGAAAAUUUGUCUAUUCAAAGAUUGCAAAAAUUGCUUAGGAUCAAGUGAUGUUCUUGAGAAAACUAUUUGAUUCCUAUUCAUCCACAACUUAUUUACCAUGAUACCAAACAUAGGAUACCAAUGGCCUCUAAUCAAGCCAACAUCAGUUAAUGUAACAUUAAAUCCGAUCAUGGAGAAAGUUUAAGAUUAAAAAAGGGUUUGUGCCACAUCACAAUCUCUUAGAACAUGCAUAACGAUUUCUAGAGCUUGGGUGCAUCGAAUGCAAACAUAAUUAUCUUACAUACCUUAACGUUUUCUUUCAACUUUAGUUAGAAGUUUUGUGUGUCAAAUAUUCCAAAUAAAAGUAAGAACUUUGAUAGGGCCAUUCUAUUUCCACACCAUAUAGAAAUUAGAAGACUCAAUAGAAGUAGAGUCAUAUGCUGAUAGAGCUUGGUAUGCAAAUUUAAUAGUGAAAAAACAUCAUUAUAAAAUUUCUAUAUUGGAAAAUCAUUCUGACCUGCAAAAGGAGGCUUAAGGCUUACAAUUUUUGUGCAUAUGUUAUUAGGAAGAGGUUGAUUGAUCAUAGACUAGUUCCAACCAUUCUCACCACCAUAAUCACUAACAUGAAACUUCACAUCAUAUGGAGGAAUAACUAUAGCAUGAUUACAUAGUUUACCAACUCUAGAAACUCAACCAUCUAGCCAAAAUCUAAUAGAUUAACCAUUUCUAAUAAUUCAAGAAAUUCCAUUUUCCACUUUAGAUCAAUAUUUGGUAAUUCAUCUUCAAAUAUGAGAAAUUUUAGACUCAGCACUAAGUGUGUGGCAUAAUUAAAUUGCUGACCUUAUAGGUAGAUGUGGGAUUCAUAAAGACCUAAUUUGCAAAAGCAAAGAAUGAAAUGCGUAGCAAAUCCCAUUUAUUUUUGAAGAAGAUAUGAUGAAAGUCAUGAGGUUUAGGAGUUAUCCAUAGAAAACAAUGCAUUAUAACUUCAUCAGAAGAAAACUCACAUGCCGCAUACAAAAUAUCUUCAAUAGAACUUCUAUAAUGUCAUGGUUAUCAUAAAUUCAUUUAGCUCUAGAUUUUCUAAACCAGUAAGUUUCUUCCUCUAAGAGUAUAUAAGUAUAAUUUUUCAACAUAUUGUAAUAGAGCGUACUAAUCUUCUCCUCCCAUGUGAUAAGAAUAAUUUAGUAAUAGAACUUUCUGGAAAUGAAGUUUGCCAAGAGAGGUUACCCAUAGUUCUAUCUAACUUUUCUCUAAGAUCCUUGUGCAACUUAGUGAGUUUCGAUCCCUUAACACCCAAAUCAAUUAGAUUACAUUAGUUUAUGCAAUGGAGUAAUUUUGAAGCUCAAAUUGUGUUGAUAAGACCUCCUCCAAUUUUUUAAUGAUAAAAAAGAACUAUAUUCAAAACACAAGCUAAACACCAAGGAACAUUAGAAAGCGAAUGCAUAUCACAAAUCUCUUUCCGUAAAUCAUACACGAUAGAAAAAAACCAAAGAGAUUCAGACCGAAGAAAAACUUUUAACAAACACAUUGAGUAGAAGUAGAGAUCACAUCAAUAGUGAUGACAUUCAUCUUUCAAAGAUACCAAAUACCUUCAAAAAAAACAUGUGCCUCAACCCUAACCAUACCAACAAAGCCAAGUUACUCGAUCACAAAUAUUUGUAUAUUUUUAAUAUACAAAUAUGUGGCCCGUAUGUUUUAUUUAUCAAUAAUAAAGAUUUGUCCUUUUUUAUUUAUUUAUGAGUGAUAAAUAUUUAUUUUAAAAUUUUUUAUAUUUAUCAAUGAAAAAUAUCUGUCCUAUAUUUUUUUUAUGUAACAAUAACAUAUAUUUGUCUGUUUCUUUUAUAUAUUUAACAGUGAUAAAUAUUUGUUCUAUUUUUUUUUUUUAAAUUUACUAGUGACAAAUAUGUUACUCAUAUUUUUUAUGUAUCAAUUAUAAAUAUUUGUCUCAUGUUUUUUAUAAGUGAUUAAUAUUUAUUGCGUGAUUUUUAUAUUUAUCAGUGACAAAUAUUUAUUAUUUUUUUAUAUUAAUCAUUCACCGAUAUUUUUUUUUGAUUUUUUCCGAUAAAAAAUUUUCGAUAAAAAUUUUUUGAUUUUUUUUUAUAUAAAUGAUUUAUCUUUUUAAUAAUUUUUUUUUCACAAAAUUUUUUUAAAGUUUUUUUUUAUUUAUUAAUAUUAUUAAUGAAUUUUGUAAGGUUGGAUCGAUCAAAAGUUCCUAAUUUGACCAUCCUUAGAAUUCAACAAUAUUUAGUUAUAAUUUUCUAAAAAUAAUCACUCCUAAUAAUUAAUUGUUAUUUUUGUUAGAAAAAAAUUAAACUCGCGAGUUUGUGUCACCCUAACUCCACCAAAUGAUAUUAUGACUCAUUUAAUCAUAGUUUACUUUCAAUUGUCGAACUCUACAUUAUAUCUAAAAUUAUUUUGAAUUUAGAAAAAUACUUAAUCAUUUUAUUAACUAAUAUUAUGAUACGACAAAAAAAUUAUCAAAACAAACUUAAAUCAACUAUUAUUUUUUAAUUUUAAAAUAUAUAAAAAAAUUAUAUUAUUAAAAAACUUGUAUAACAAUAGUUUAUUAUAUUGUACUUUGUCUGAAAACCUCAACAUUCACCUUUUAAAAUUUCAAAUUAUAGUUAUUUUCUUCUUUCUUCGUUGGAGACGAAUAACUUUAGACCAUUUUUUUUUAUCUAUAAUCAUUUCUUUAAUUAUUUUUUUAUCUAAAUAAAUAGCUUCUACAUAAAUUUAUUUAUUUUUUUUUAUCUUUUUUGUGAUUUCAUCAUUUGGAAACAUUUUUUAGUUUUUUGUCUAAGUGCGAAUCUUUUUAAUUUUUUCGUCUUUGUACGGUAUUUAUUUUGGUUGAGAAAUUUCAAUAAAUAAAUUUAACGUCGUCAUAUUUAUUUUGGUUGAGAUAUAUAUUCCAAACCCCUAAAUUUUGUCAUAUUUAUUGAGAUGUUAUCGCAUUAUGUUAUAUUACUAUUUUACGCUAUAAACUUAAGGUAGGUGAAUUUGUUUGCAAAGUCAUUCUUAUUAUUUUUAACAAAGUUGAAUUUAUGUUGUAUAUAUGUAUUAUACCAUUUGAAUCAAUAAAUAUUGUUUAUUUUAAUAAAAAAAAUAAGAUUGUACUUUGUCUGACUUCUAAGCACAUAAUUUGAGUUCUGCAACCCCUCAUAAAAAAGUAUAAUUUCUCUACUAUGAAAUUGGGUUUGGUCUUCUAUGUUACAUCAUAAGGAAUUGAAGUACUCCUUAUACUCUAAUUAAUAAUUAUUUUACUUAUAGAAAAACAAGUAAUUUUGUUAUCAGUUUUAUUUACGACAUAUUUUGAUAUCAUUUAUUAUAUCUCAAAAUAUAAUUUUUCUUAUAAUUAAUUGAAGUAUGUCGGCAGGUAUUUCGUACCUAAAACAUGUUCAUAAAAGAUUAACUAAAUUUAUUUUUUUUUUUAAAUAUAAUUAAUUAAUUAAUUAUUUAAAUCUGUAUAAUAAUUUUCUCUAAUAUAUUUCUUAUAUUAUAUUAUUGAAAUUUAAAGAUAUACAUGUAUAAUAUACAACAUAUAUAAGGGUGUUCAAAUCCAAACCAAUUUGAAAAAGAACUGCAAAAUAAUCCAAAAAAAUAAAAAAAUGAAACCAAACAUUAUUAGAUGUAUUUGAAUAUUUUUUUAUUGAAUCUGAUUUCGGAUUGAAUUUUUAAAACCAAAGCAAACUGUAUAUAUACAUUUUUUAAUACUUAUUUAUUUUUUAUUAGUAUUAUAUAUUGCAUUACUCUAUUAUUUGUUACUUGUUAGCUUUAAUUUUUAUUAAUAAUUAAUAGUACUUAUUUAUUUAAUUUAACAUUUUUUUACAAUUGCAUGUAUUUCAAAUAUAAUCAAUCAAUAUUAUUUUAUAAUUUUAAUUUUUAAUAUAUUAAAUAUUAUAUUUUAUUUCAAUUUUAACGUAAAUUUAUAAUAAUAAUAAUAUUUAUGAUUGUAAUUUAGAUAACAAAAAUCAAUUCAAUUUAAAAUGCAUUUAUUCAGUUUGGAUCAUUUUUUUUUCUUCAAAUAUCAUCCAAACUAUAUCAAACUACAAUUAUUUUAAUUUUUAAAUCUAAAGAAUUUUUGCCUCGUAACGACUCAAACCGAAUCACAUCAAAGACACUCCUAAAUUACAACAUCCUCAAUAGUUUUUUUUCCGUAUAAAUUAGAUAUCCUACGAAUAGUAUUCUUUAUCAAGAACUUUAACUUUGUCAGAUUUUAGAGUUUAAUUUGAAUUUAACACUUCUAAUUAAACUUAAAUAGAUAUAAAUUAUUUCAUGAAAUGGUCAUGGUAACAUCCUAUCACUAGGUAGUUAUGAUGAAGCAAACAAACAUAUGAGAGAGAAGAAGUGGUAUCUCGUUUGGAAGAACACUUUAUAAUUUUUGGUAUCAAGUGUGUGAUGAAAACUGCAAGGAAGAAUAUACUAAGGCACUAUGAUGUAAGACCAUUUAUUAAUUGUAAUUAUUGAGAAAGGGGGAUGCAACCAGAUCUUGGAAAGUUUAUUUUAGUCAUCCACUUAUUUAGGAAAGUGAAAAUAUUGUACAUCAUUAAAAUGAGAAAAGCUAUUCAAAAAUCAAUUAUUUUAUUUGUAUAGUUAGACACGCGGCGCAUGAAAUCAGAUAUUAACAUAUCAGUUAUCACCUAUGUCUGUAUCAUACACAUUUCUUUACGAUUUAUAAUAACAAAAACUUGUCCAAAAAGUUGUCUUUUAAGACGAUGAUAUGCGAUUCGUUAAUACGCAUCUUUAAAUUUGGAUCUUCGAUUUCUUCAAAAUUAAUGUGUAUAAAUUUUGUUAUUAAAUUUCUUAAAAGAAAAAAAUUAAUUUUAUAAAAGAUAAAAUAUUAACUGAUAUACAAUUAUUUUACAUUGAUAUUCACGUACAACAAAUCAUUGUACAAUUAUUGUUUUAAAUAAUUAUAAAAAUAAUUUAACAUAUUAUAAAUUAAUAAUUAUUAUAUAUUGAUUGUUGAUAUAAAAUUAAUUUUUAUCCAAAAUCUAUUUUAUAAUAAUCACAAUAUAAAUGAUAACGUGAUUAUAAAUUUAAAAGAUGAUCAUAAAUAAAGUAACUCAUACUAAGAUGCUAGUAACAUGGAUUUCAUAUUAGUGAACUCUAUCAAAGACUAGUUAAAAAAUGAUAAGAUAAUUUUACAAAAACCAAAAUAAAGGCUUGAUUUAACUAUAAUUUUAUUAUCUUAAUUUUAUGAAUUUAUGAAAUUGAUCAUUUUAUCUUAUAAGUCAAUAAUUUCAGUUCAUUUUUUAAUUUUUAACUAAAAAAUAAAGACAUGACAUACUUUAAUUAAUGAAUCUAAAUAAUAUUAUAUUAUAAAAUUAUAUAUUAUAUUAUUUAAAAUAUUUUAAAUUAUCAAUUUUUUAAUUUAAAAAUUUAAAAGAGAUUAAAACUAUUAACUUUUAAAAUAAAGAGAUCAGUUUCAUGAAUUGAUAAAAAAAAAUUAUAAUUCUAUAAAUUAAUAAAAUUAAAUAGAUUAAAAUCGUAAUUAAACUUAAAAUUUAUUAAAAAUUUAAUUCUCUCGUUAAACAGCGUUUAAUUGUCAUGUGAACAUCGAAUAAGAGACUAAUGACUUUUCUUUCGUACAUACGUGGAGUUCGAGAGAGUACUUUUUCUUACUGUAGUUUGAAAAUACAUGCUGCUGCUGGUUCUAAUUACUACUAUUAUUUUCUAAAUAUUUUAUAAAUAUAUCUUUCGUAAAAUAAUGUGAAAUAUUAACUGUAUUUACUAAUAUUUUAAAAAAUAUAUACAAAGAUAAAAAAAUUCAUUUACAUAAUAAAUAUAUUUUUAAAAAUUACAAUUUUUUAUAAAUAAAACAAAAUAAUUUUUUUAAAAUUUCUUAUAUUUAUUGCAAUUUUUUAAAAUCACUAGAGAAUGAUCUACACAAGAGAAUGAUCUAUAUUUAUUACAAUUUUAUGUUCAAAGGAAACGUCAAUGUUGAUAAUCUUAAAGUAAAUUUAUUGAAAAUACAUGCAAUAUCUAUUGACUUUGGAGUAGAUAAUGAAUCACGGUAGAGUUGGUCUUUGACAAUUUGGGUGUUUUUGGCCAUUGGAUAAUUCAAUAAAGUGGUGUUCUUGUAAAUAUUGAAUAUCAUUUUAUUUUCAUUUAUUGUAAAAUUAUUAAUAAUUAUUUUAUAAUCAAAGUUUUCUUUAAAAAAAUAUUUAAUUUAUAUUAAUUUAUAAUUGUAACAAAGGCAAUACUAUUUUAGUAUAAUUUAUUUUUAGCUUAUUGCAAUUUUAAUUUCUUUAUUUUUAUCGAUUCAAAAAAUUGGUCCAUCUAUUUUAAAAGUUAUCAAUUUUAAUUCAUUUAUUUGUUUUUUAUUUUUUAACUAAAAAAGCCAACGUGACAUGUUUUAAAUAGUAAAAUAUAUAAUACAGUAAUGUAGAAUAAUUAAUACUGAUGAAUUCAGAAUAAAACACCGUAAAUAUUUAACUAUUACUUUAAGAAAUUUUUCAUAUUUAUAAUUUAAUAAAUGAAAUAUGAAUAAUUAAUACAUCUAGAUAUUUCUAUAUUAAGAAAUUGUAUGUCACGUCAUAUAAAAUAUGUCAAGUCGUCAUUUUUUUUUCAAAAAUUUGAAUGAGAGGCAAAAACCGUAGACUUUUCAAAUAAUAGAAUUAAUUUUGUGAAUUGAUAGAAAUAUAUUAAAAAAUAAUUGCAAUUAAACCUUUAUAUUUUUUAAUUAUAAAUAUGUCUGUUUCGACAACUUUAUAAUUUUUUAUUAAAAAUUUUAUCUUUUAAAAACUAUUCUUAAAUAAACUUCUAAUAACUACAUUGAGUAAUCUUCCUGCUAUUUUAUUUUUUCCAUUUUAAUUUUUUUAUUAGUUUUUUUUGUUAAAUUACAUCUGCGGUCCCUUAACUUAAUUUCAGGUAACGUUUUAGUCCUUUAUAUUUUUUUUCCCGAGUUGGUCCUUUAUUUUAAUUUUAAGUGACAAUUUGAUAUUUUAUGUUUAAAUAUCAACAAUGUUGUCCUUUUUUUUUCUUCAAAAAUUCAAAAAAAUCAUCAAAAUUUUCAAACAAAACCCAUAAAAUUCAUUAUCAUCUUCAAUAAAAUACAAAUUCAAUCAAAUUCAUAACUUAAAUCUUAAAAUAAACUCAUAUUUUAAUUCCUUAUUUGAUGUUGUUGGAGAUAAAAAUAUGAGUGUAUUUGAAUAUUUGAAUUAUGAAUUUGAUAAAAUUUGCAUUAUAUUGAAGAUGAUUAUUAAUUUUAUGGGUUUUGGUUGAAAAUUUUGAAGAUUUUUUUUGAAUUUUUGUAUAAAAAAGGAUAACAUUGUUGAAAUUUUAAAAUAUAAAAUAUCAAAUUGUCAUUUAAAAUUAAAAUAAAGGACCAACUCGAAAAAAAAAAUUAAAACGUUACCUGAAAUUAAGUUAAAGGACCACAAAUGUAAUUUAGGCUGAUUUUUCAUUGCAAUUAAGCAAUUUCAAUGACGGAUUUAUGUUUUAAAAAAAUUCAACAAAUGAUAUAUGGAAAUUCAAUAAUCAUUUAGCUCAAUAAAAAAAAUACACACGAACACAUGAGUGCCAGCCUAUUUUUUUAAUUAUAAAUAUCUCUGUUUCGGAUUAGGUCCAGUUUGGAUCAAUUACCUUUAAAGUUUUUUUUUUUAUUAAAAAUCUUAUCUUUUAAAAAAUAUUCUUAAAAAAACUUCUGAAAACUUCAUCUUUCUACAAUUUAUUUUCCUUUUCAUUGUUUACUUUUUUCUAUUAAUUUUUUCAUUGCAAUUAAGAAUUUCAAAGACAGGUUUAUUUUAAAAAAUCCAAUAAAUGGUAUAUAAAGAAAUUCAAUAAUUGUAAAUACAUUUUAGCGCAAUAAAAAAUGAUAACAAAUGAACACACAAGUGCCUAAGAUUUUAACAAUUUCAAUUUAUGUUUUAUCAAUAUAGAUAUCCAAGAACAAGAAUGAUAUAAAAUUUUAAUAAUUUCCAUUUAUGUUUUAUCUAGCAAGAUAUCUAAGAAAGGGACUAUUAUCCUAAUUAAAAUACAUACUUAAUUUUACAUUUGGUCUGUUAUAUUUAUUUUAGGUUUCACUUUAAUCCCUAUUAGAAUUUCGGUUGAACUCUUAAUGUGGGACUCUUAAGUCUUAACAAUCUAUAUAUUUUAAAAGAUUUAUAAAGGAAGUUUGAUAAAUCAUAUAAUUUACACUUUUUUGAAGUUAAAUUAUAAAAAUUAUAAGUAUGGCUGAUAGGUAGAAGUACAAGUACAAUCUUCCUGAUGCGUGGUCAAGAAAAUCGGCUAAUACGACCUUUGAGCUCUUAUAAAAGGCAAGUUAUUAGAUAGACAUACCAUACUGUUCACAACAUUAUAAUUAUAUACUUUUUUUCAUGUAGAAUUUUCCUUUUCAAAAGAAAAAAUGAAUAUCUCACGUGUCAUAGAAGGUGUGACUUGUCAAAAAUGGUGUAGAGAGCGUGUAUAGGGUCAAAAAGAAUGUAUAAAGAUAUAUAAAUGGAUAUAAAAUUUUGUCACCGAUACGAGAUACAAUACUGGCUUAAUACGGCCUUUAAGUUCUAAUAAAAGGCAAUAUUAUUAGUACUACUUUUUCUUUUUACAUAAAGAGUUCAAGACGUGUCAUUCAUGAUAAAGGUACGUGAUUUAAUGGGUAACUACCACUUUUGUUGUAAGAUUAUCGUUGAUUUAGCUAUAAUUUUUAUAUUAGUCAUUAAAUGAUUAGAAUGAUCUUUGAAAAUAUAACUUACUGUUAUAAAAUCUUUAAAAUAUAAAAUUUAUUGUUAAAAUAGUAUGUAUUUAUUAUCAUGUUAUAAAUUAAAUUGAUUAAUAUUUUAAUAAUUAGAUGACAAAUUUAAAUUUUUGACUCAAUUAAAGACUAAAAUAAUAACGCUUUACAUUUUUAGAAACUAAAAUAAUGAUUUAAUAUUUCAAAACUAGUGGUUCAAAGAGUUGUUGUUAUUAAGAAUAACAUGAUCAAAGUAAUCAUAUAAGAAAAAUAAAUUUUGGAACUUGAUGGAAAAAAAGUAAUAUAAGGUUUCAUAUAUAUGGAAUAAAAAUAAAGAAAUUGAUACAUUGAGUUCUCCAUAUAAAGAGAAAUUAACUACCAAACUAAAAUCUAACAAACUAAUUGAAAAACUCUAACUAACAUUAUAUUUCUUCUAACAUCCUCCACAAAACUCAGAGUAAGAUGUCAUUAAUUUGAGUUUGGAUUAUAUUAUUCAUCCAGACACCCAUGACAAACUAAAGUCUGGUCCGUUUGUCGACUUGUCAUUCCUCACUUCGUCCACAACAAGUUUCGUAACACAAUUAUAAGGUAUUUGAGAACAAUAGACAAAUAAACAGGAGAACCGUAUCCGACACGCUGCACAUAACAAUAGACUUUUCUUGACCUGGAGAUUAAUUAGUUUUAGGUUUUAGUUUUAAGGUUUUGAGGUAAGAUGUGAUAUUCAAUUCACUUGUUUGACUGCUCUUAGUCGAAUGUGGUGAUCCCACAAACUCCUUUAUGAUCCCACAAAUUUCACUGUUGUAUAUUUUCCGGAAAAAUUGAAAUAAAUUUUCCAAUACUUCCGAAAAACUUUAAAAAAGAUUUAUAUGAGGCAUUUAUAUCUUUUCCUUUAGUUUGUAUUGGUACAGGAACAAUUUGGAAGGAAAAUUUUCCCUUGUACCCACUCAUUUAUCCCUAUACUCCCAAAAGUAAAGGAAAAAUACUAAAAUACCCUCAUAUAUAUAUAAAUAUUUUUUUUUAAUUUCUUCAUUUAACAUUUCCGGAACAGAAACAACAAGCAAAAAAAAAAAAUUCCGGAAAACUUCUUUCAAGUUUUCCGGUACACAACUUUUCCGGAAAACUUGAAAAAAGUUUUCCGGUACAGAACAUCAUUUUCGAAAAACUUCAACGUAACAUUUCCGGAAACCACCGAAAAACUUCAUGCACAUGUUUUCCGGUAGUUGUUUGAUUUUUUUUUUAAAUAUUUUUUAAAAUAAUUUUUUUGUUUUAUUUUUUUUAUUAUAUUAGUAUUUAUUUGAUUUUAACUAAGAUCUUGUUAAGGAAGUAGUAUUAAUUAUUAAUUAUGGUGUAUUAAUUAUGAAUUAUUAUGGUAUAUUAAUAGUGUAUUAAUUAUUGAAUGGUGUAUUAAUUAUUAAUUAUUUAUGGUAUAUUUAUGUGUGUUAAUUAAUAUUUAUGAUGCGUUAAUUAUUGACUAAUGUAUUAUCAUUUAUAAAAGUAAUAAAAUUAAAAAAAAAAUUAAAAAAAUGUUGUGUACCGGAAAUCUUUUUGAGAAAGUUUUCUGGAAACACCUUCUGUACCGGAAAUCUUUGGAAUGAAGUUUUCCGGUAGUACAAUUUUUCACUUCUGUAUCGGAAAUCUUUUUUAAAGUUUUCCGGUAACAACUUUCUGUACCGGAAAACUUGAAAAAAGUUUUCUGAAAAUAAGGUGUGUACCGGAAAUCUUUUUUGUAGUUCCGGAAAAGAAUAAAUUAUAAAAAAAAAAAAAAAAAAAUUAAUAAGGGCAUAAUUGUCAUUUUCAAAAAAUUAUGGGGGUAUAGGUAUAAAAAUGGGGGUACAGGGGAAAUUUUUCAUUUGGAAGAUAUAGAGUAAAAUUUUCUUAUUAUAAGCAUUUCAUACAAUACACGGCCCAAUGCAUUUUUGGCGAUGUUCAAACCAUACGGUAUACCAUCCAACAAAAACUAUCCGAACUAAUUAUAAGCAUUUUAUAUAGUACACGGCCCAAUACAUUUUUGGUGAUGUUAAAAACCAUAUAGUACACAACCCACCAAUAUCCAAAGAUUAGGAAGUCUUAAUCAAUAUCCCACCGUUAAAAUUUAGGAUUGAAUAUGUUUUUAGAUUUUAUAGAAUUUUAAAUUUUCAAUUUUAGUAAUUGUAUUUGUAAGUUAAGUUAUAACUCAACUGACAAAUGUCAAAAUUAUUUGGUUAAAUAUUUUGUUUAUGGUUCGAACUUAAGUCGCAUUUGUGUAUGAGUUUUUGGUGCUAUUUACAAUUAUGUCUACUAACCCAAAAAAAUUACAACUUUUAAUCGUAGAAAAUAUCAUGCAUAUAGUUUUAAUCUUUACUGUUAAAUCAACGUAUAUUUUUAAAAGAUUUUUUGCAGAUAUUUUAACAACAUUAUAAAAAGUUUGUAAACAAAAAUUAAGCUCAAAAUUUAAUUUCUAGUCCAUAUUUUUAUUACUUUUAUCUUAAGUUUUUUAUAUUUAAAAAAUUUAUAUUUAAUUUAUCGAAAGUUAAAAAUAAAUCUUAAUUUUUGUAAAUGAACUUUUUAUAAUAUUAUAAAAAUAAUUACGAAAAAUCAUUCGAAAAUUUUGUGAAUGCAUAGAUUUCCUAGUUGUUCUAGUCUAAGUUUUAUCUUUGAUUUCGAUGAUUGUUUCUUAAGUUAGAUUUAGAAUCUAUACAUGUCUUUGUUGAUUUCACUUAUCCACCUUAUGCUUGAGCAAAAAGUAACUCGAGGAAAUUGACAUUUGAAUCAUGCAUAGUUAAAUGCUUCAUUAACACUCUUUUAAAUUUAUUACUUCUCAUUUCAAAUGAUUUUACACAUGUUUUUUGAAUCUGUUUGAAUAGAUUCAAGGAAUGUUUGAAUAUAUUCAAACCGUAAGUCUUAACAGAUUUAGUGUUUCCUUGAUUUGAAUCAAGCAUUAGUUAGGGAAACUCCUUGAAUCGAUUCAAUGUUUCAUUGAUUUGGAUCAAGUUUGUCCAUGAUUUCUUGAAUCCAUUCAAAGAUUAUUUGAUCUAUAUCACAUUAAAAAAAAAGUUUUGUUUUUUGUUCUUUUUUUUUCAAUGUUAGUUUCUUACACCCAUAAAUAAUCAUCUUGGAACUUUUAAUAAUUUAACAUUCUGAAAUUCAUCUCAAUAUUUUCAACCUCUCAAGUUAAAAAAAUUUAUUGAAAGGGGUUUUUUAGAGGGAUUUGAAUCUUCAUCAUUGAAAGAGAGCUUUCUUGUUGAAGAUUGCAAAAUGUUGAUUUUGGAGUUGUCAAAAUCAAGUGCUAGAAGUGGGAUUCAUAGAAGAAACUCUCAUAAAAGAAUCUUGUAUUAUUGCACAACUAUGUUAAUGGAAGAAACUCUCAUCAAAAUUUGGUUUUAUAUCUUAACUCUAUCCUUCUUUAAUUUUCUGCAUUGAAAUGACAAUUUGUGUACAGAUAAAUUCUGAUUUUUGUGUUCUUGAGAAAUUAUGAAGUGUUUAAAACAAAAUUUUAUUUUCUUAAUCAAUUCAUAUUGAAGAUAUUAAUACAAUUGUUUCAAGUUUUUUUUUUUUGUUAAUGUGCUAUGCUGAAUUUUUCUGUAAUCAUUCAUUUGUAGAGUUGAUUGAUUCUAUAUUUAUACAAUUACUAAGUUAACUGAAUUUCCUUUCAAUUAAAUUUUCAAUUUAUUUAUUCACAACCUUUAUCUAAAUUGGUGUUUAGCAAUUCGAAGAAAUAUUUUUUUGUAAAGUAUCAAGCAUGUGUAAUCGAUUCAAUAUUUUUAAAAAUUAUGUUUUUUUUUCUUUUUUUUUGAAAUCCUAUUCUCGCCUCUAGAAUUUUGGUGCCUUUACAACUAACAAUUUUAAAUUUGAAAAAUAAUUAAAUAUGUUUCUUUUCACAACUAACAAUUUUUAAAUUUAAAAAAUAAUUAAAUAUGUUUCUUUUCGACAGAUAAUAAAAUAGUUUAUUGAUAAUUUUAAAAGAACUGAAAGUUGUAUUUUUUUUUACAGUGACUAUAAUUGAAAAGUUAGAAUUUUAUAGAGACUAAAACGAUGCAUCAUAACUCUACAAUUUAUUGGGUUAGCAACUUAUUUCCAAUAAAUUUUAAAUGUUAAUUAGAUAAUUAACCUAACUUAGUCACGAUUCAAAGAUGAAUGAUUCAUUUUCGUAUAAAUCUAUCAGUCGUCGAACUUUUUGAGCUGAUCUAUUUUGCCUGCCAUUUUAGGCGGUUUGAGUUAAAGAUUUUAAUUCAUCUAUCUAAAUUGGUCAAUUUCGUUUAUAUAGUUACACGUUUAACUGUAUAAAUAAACUAAGAACCUAAUAAAAAAUGGUAGGUCAUUCAUUACUAAGUAAUUAAAAACACUUUAGUAUUUUAAGUUGAUGUACAUAAUAUUAAUUAAAGUAUAGGGUAAAAUAAUAAUAAUAAUAAUAAUAAUAAUAAUAAUAAUAAUAAUAAUAAUAAUAAUAAUAAAUAUUACAUUUAAAUUAAAAAAUAUAAUUCAUUUUAGAAUGUUUUUGUUAUAAAAAAUACGACAAUUAUUGUGGCGGAAAGAGUAACUUAUUCCAUAUAUAUAUAUAAAGCAACUAAUGAUAGGAAAUUAAAUCAGAUUUCACAGGUCCAGCUAUUAAAUGACAUUUGAAUUUAAGAUAUCAAUUAAUUCUAAUAACAAACUAAAACGUUCAUAUAGGCUUGUAAUAGUAGUAUUAAUUUGACUAUUAGGUAUAAAAUGUGGUUGGUGACUAUAAGCUAGGGUCAUGCAAUGGCAUAUGCUCAACAACUCAUUAGCAUCAACCUCCUUAUAAAAAUGAGAACCCACAUAAUUAAUUUUGUGUAGAAAAGAGAGAGAGAGAGAAUAAGAUAAUAUCAAAUUAAUGGGUAAGUGGUUGUGCAUCUUGGUGGUUUUGGCUAUGGUCGUGGUUGCAACAAGUGCAAGGAAUGUGCCCAUUGGAGGCACUAAUUUGAAGGAACAAAAAUGCAUUGGCAGGUUUGGUACUGGUGUAGGUGCUGAUCUUGGUAUGCCCCUAAUUGGUGGCCUUGGUGGUUUCGGUGGAACUGCUUUUACCGGCCGUCGUAUUCCUCAACCUUGAAUUAUGGCUUUAACUUAUUUUCAUUCUCGUCUUGAAUAUAAAAAAAUAUUUAAUCAAUAAAAAUUAAUAUAUUUAGUAUAAAAUUUAUACUAAAUAUAUUUAUUUUUAUUGAUUUACUUUUUCUUAUAUUUGAGAUUGAAUAAAUUAUAUAUAAUAUCAUAUAUGGCAUCUUAUUAUUAUUAUAAGAGAAUAAAAUGAUUAGUAUGAUGUCAUGAUUAAUGUUUUAGUGUUUUAUGAUUUUUUGCCAAGAAAAAAGAUCAGUACGUACUAGCUUGUUUUUGUAAUGUAUGGAUGUGUUGUUCCUUUUUAUGUAAGGGAAGAUAUAUUAUGCAUGAUUUCACCUUCUUAUGAUAUGAAAAAAUAACUUUAUUUUUUCCUAGAUUCACCAUGAACCCAUCAAUGAUUGUCACCCUUCUCUAUGGAACACAGUUCAAGGUCAAAACCUUCACAACCACCUAGGACAAGGACACAUCACACAUUAACUAUAAAACUGGAAAUAUAUCCAAUUCCAUGAGGACUUU
rnacentral:lncRNA from 1 species